rnacentral:rRNA from 1 species
GCUCCCUGAGCUGGCGGCGGCCGCAGAGACCAGGCGGAAGCGACUGUUUACUAAAAACACAGGUCCAUGCAAAGUCGCAAGACGACGUAUAUGGACUGACGCCUGCCCGGUGCUGGAACGUUAAGGGGACCGGUUAGGCCUUCGGGCCGAAGCUGAGAACUUAAGCGCCAGUAAACGGCGGUGGUAACUAUAACCAUCCUAAGGUAGCGAAAUUCCUUGUCGGGUAAGUUCCGACCUGCACGAAUGGCGUAACGACUUCCGCGCUGUCUCAACCACAGACUCGGCGAAAUUGCACUACGAGUAAAGAUGCUCGUUACGCGUGGCAGGACGGAAAGACCCCGGGACCUUUACUAUAGCUUGGUAUUGGUGGUCGAUUCGAUUUGUGUAGGAUAGGUGGGAGACUUUGAAGCUCGGACGCCAGUUCGGGUGGAGUCAUUGUUGAAAUACCACUCUGAUCGUAUUGGCUGUCUAACCUCGGACCGUGAUCCGGUCUAGGGACAGUGCCUGGUGGGUAGUUUAACUGGGGCGGUUGCCUCCCAAAAAGUAACGGAGGCGCUCAAAGGUUCCCUCAGCCUGGUUGGCAAUCAGGUAUCGAGUGUAAGUGCACAAGGGAGCUUGACUGUGAGACUGACAGGUCGAGCAGGGACGAAAGUCGGAACUAGUGAUCCGGCGCAUGAUUGUGGAAUCGGCGUCGCUCAACGGAUAAAAGGUACCCCGGGGAUAACAGGCUGAUCUUGCCCAAGAGUCCAUAUCGACGGCAUGGUUUGGCACCUCGAUGUCGGCUCGUCGCAUCCUGGGGCUGGAGUAGGUCCCAAGGGUUGGGCUGUUCGCCCAUUAAAGCGGCACGCGAGCUGGGUUUAGAACGUCGUGAGACAGUUCGGUCCCUAUCCGCCACGCGCGCAGGAGUCUUGAGGAGACCUGUCCCUAGUACGAGAGGACCGGGAUGGACGAACCUCUGGUGUGCCAGUUGUCCUGCCAAGGGCACGGCUGGUUAGCUACGUUCGGAAGGGAUAACCGCUGAAAGCAUCUAAGCGGGAAGCUCGCUCCAAGAUAAGGACUCCCACAGGUUUACCUGGUAAGGCCCCCAGCUAGACGACUGGGUUGAUAGGCCGGAUGUGGAAGCACAGCAAUGUGCGGAGCUGACCGGUACUAAUAGGCCGAGGACUUGCCUC